rnacentral:rRNA from 2 species
GAUGAACGCCGGCGGUGUGCCUAAUACAUGCAAGUCGAACGCGUUGGCCCAAUUGAUUGAUGGUGCUUGCACCUGAUUGAUUUUGGUCGCCAACGAGUGGCGGACGGGUGAGUAACACGUAGGUAACCUGCCCAGAAGCGGGGGACAACAUUUGGAAACAGAUGCUAAUACCGCAUAACAGCGUUGUUCGCAUGAACAACGCUUAAAAGAUGGCUUCUCGCUAUCACUUCUGGAUGGACCUGCGGUGCAUUAGCUUGUUGGUGGGGUAACGGCCUACCAAGGCGAUGAUGCAUAGCCGAGUUGAGAGACUGAUCGGCCACAAUGGGACUGAGACACGGCCCAUACUCCUACGGGAGGCAGCAGUAGGGAAUCUUCCACAAUGGGCGCAAGCCUGAUGGAGCAACACCGCGUGAGUGAAGAAGGGUUUCGGCUCGUAAAGCUCUGUUGUUAAAGAAGAACACGUAUGAGAGUAACUGUUCAUACGUUGACGGUAUUUAACCAGAAAGUCACGGCUAACUACGUGCCAGCAGCCGCGGUAAUACGUAGGUGGCAAGCGUUAUCCGGAUUUAUUGGGCGUAAAGAGAGUGCAGGCGGUUUUCUAAGUCUGAUGUGAAAGCCUUCGGCUUAACCGGAGAAGUGCAUCGGAAACUGGAUAACUUGAGUGCAGAAGAGGGUAGUGGAACUCCAUGUGUAGCGGUGGAAUGCGUAGAUAUAUGGAAGAACACCAGUGGCGAAGGCGGCUACCUGGUCUGCAACUGACGCUGAGACUCGAAAGCAUGGGUAGCGAACAGGAUUAGAUACCCUGGUAGUCCAUGCCGUAAACGAUGAGUGCUAGGUGUUGGAGGGUUUCCGCCCUUCAGUGCCGGAGCUAACGCAUUAAGCACUCCGCCUGGGGAGUACGACCGCAAGGUUGAAACUCAAAGGAAUUGACGGGGGCCCGCACAAGCGGUGGAGCAUGUGGUUUAAUUCGAAGCUACGCGAAGAACCUUACCAGGUCUUGACAUCUUGCGCCAACCCUAGAGAUAGGGCGUUUCCUUCGGGAACGCAAUGACAGGUGGUGCAUGGUCGUCGUCAGCUCGUGUCGUGAGAUGUUGGGUUAAGUCCCGCAACGAGCGCAACCCUUGUUACUAGUUGCCAGCAUUAAGUUGGGCACUCUAGUGAGACUGCCGGUGACAAACCGGAGGAAGGUGGGGACGACGUCAGAUCAUCAUGCCCCUUAUGACCUGGGCUACACACGUGCUACAAUGGACGGUACAACGAGUCGCGAACUCGCGAGGGCAAGCAAAUCUCUUAAAACCGUUCUCAGUUCGGACUGCAGGCUGCAACUCGCCUGCACGAAGUCGGAAUCGCUAGUAAUCGCGGAUCAGCAUGCCGCGGUGAAUACGUUCCCGGGCCUUGUACACACCGCCCGUCACACCAUGAGAGUUUGUAACACCCAAAGUCGGUGGGGUAACCUUUUAGGAGCCAGCCGCCUAAGGUGGGACAGAUGAUUA